CCAGGAACCUUAAAAUGCAUUAUUCUCAGAUUAUCUUACAUCAAAGCGACCCUUUCUCAGUUUUCACUAACACUUGUUCUAGGGUCUUCCUAAAACUCUUUCAUUUGGGAAGCUUGCAUUCAGCAACAAACAUCAUCUCUCACAAGGAUAACCCAUUGGUCUCAGAACCUUUCGUCCUUUUGUUCAAUUCACAGCAUAUGCUAAUUUCCCCUUGUCUCUGACGCUUACUGUCAAGAGGUUUUUCUCUUCUUUAUUCGGGAGAGAACAUGACGUCAAAAAGGGAAAGGGAAGUUGAUCGUAAAGUAGAGGAUGAAGGGCUUGAUAAUGAAUCGAAAAGGCAGAAGCUGGAUGAGAAUUCCUCUCCAUCUCCUCCUCCCGUCUCCAUUGCGAAUCCACUUUCUGGGUUAGCUAAUAAUUAUGCUGACAUUGAUGAGGAGGAAGAAUAUGUUCGAAGGGAAAGGGGUUCUGUUAAUGAGAGUAGGAAUGAUAGGUCGCAGCACAAUGGGCAUAGAUAUGGAGAGGCUGAUGGUAGUGAUGAAGAAGAUGAUUCACAAGAACAAUUAUUUAGUGGAAGAAACAGUCGCCAGGUUGAGGUUCGGAAGGACUGUCCUUAUCUCGAUACGGUUAAUAGACAGGUUUUGGAUUUUGACUUUGAAAAAUUCUGUUCUGUCUCCCUAUCGAAUUUAAAUGUGUAUGCAUGUUUGGUUUGCGGGAAGUAUUACCAAGGGAGAGGGAAGAAGUCUCAUGCAUAUACACAUAGUCUGGAAGCAGGACACCAUGUUUAUAUCAAUCUCCGUACUGAAAAAGUCUACUGUCUUCCUGAUGGUUAUGAAAUUAAUGAUCCUUCAUUAGAUGACAUUCGGCAUGUCUUAAAUCCAAGAUUCACUGGAAAAGAAGUUGAACAACUUGACAAAAAUAAGCAGUGGUCUAGGGCACUUGAUGGUUCUAGUUACCUUCCUGGAAUGGUGGGACUUAAUAAUAUCAAGGAGACUGAUUUUGUGAAUGUAACAAUUCAAUCCUUAAUGAGAGUUACCCCCUUGAGGAAUUUUUUCCUCAUCCCUGAAAAUUAUCAACACUGUAAAUCUCCACUUGUUCAUCGAUUUGGUGAACUCACUAGGAAAAUAUGGCAUGCACGGAACUUUAAAGGACAGGUCAGCCCACAUGAGUUUCUACAAGCAGUGAUGAAAGCCAGCAAGAAAAGGUUUCGGAUAGGUGCACAAUCUGACCCAGUUGAGUUCAUGUCAUGGUUGCUUAAUACUCUACAUGCAGAUCUUAAGACAUCAAAAAAGAAUACCAGCAUAAUCUAUGAGUGUUUUCAGGGUGAGCUUGAGGUUGUGAAAGAGAUUCCUAACAAAGGUACCAUUGAUAAGAAAGAAAACAAUGAAGACCAGAACAAUGCUGAGAAACUUUUGGAUGGGGUAAAUGAGCGAUAUGCAUUUGUCAAAGAAACUUCAAAAAUGCCAUUUCUAAUGUUGGGGUUGGACUUGCCACCACCUCCUCUUUUCAAGGAUGUGAUGGAAAAAAAUAUAAUACCACAGGUUCCACUCUUUAACAUUCUGAAGAAGUUUGAUGGUGAAACUAUCACAGAGGUGGUCCGUCCUCAUAUAGCAAGGAUGAAAUAUCGUGUUACCAGAUUGCCUAAGUAUAUGAUUCUUCACAUGCGGAGGUUUACUAAGAAUAAUUUUUUUGUGGAAAAGAAUCCCACAUUAGUAAACUUUCCUGUGAAGAACCUGGAGUUGAAGGAUUACAUUCCCUUGCCAACACCAAAAGAAAAUGAGAAAUUGCGAUCUAAAUAUGAUUUAAUUGCUAAUGUUGUUCAUGAUGGCAAACCUGGUGAGGGUUUGUAUAGGGUAUUUGUACAACGCAAAUCAGAAGAACUAUGGUAUGAGAUGCAGGAUUUGCAUGUCUCCGAAACACUUCCUCAUUUGGUUGCGCUGUCAGAAGCUUAUAUGCAAAUUUAUGAACAGCAAGGCUGAGUUCAAAUCAGUUUCUUUGUGCACCACAACCUGAUACACAUUGUGUGCUGAAUGGUUGACUAACACUUGUUUCAUCUGGGAAGCUCGCAAAAACUGUAGUGACGAGCUUCAGUAGCUACUUCUCUCACAAGGAGAACCAAUUGAUGCCAAACCCUAUCGUCUUCUAUUUCAAUUCACAGCAUAUGAUAAUUUUCCCUUGUUAGUGACGCAUGGCAAAACUCUAUUGACGAGAGGUUUUUUUCUUCUCUAUUCGGGUAUUGUAAGAAAGAUUCAUAUAGCCUGUGAGGAUGAUUUAUUUUGGAACACCAAACUUUUCUUCUUCUUGUGCCUAUCAAGUGUUCGAAGGAAAAGAUUUUGAACAUGGACAUGCGUCGUGUAUGCUUAUGUGCUGAAAAAAGUGAGAUAUUUUUUUAUCUUGAGCAUGAUAUGCAUAUGUUCUUGUUAUAGGUGUGAUUAGAUUUCAUACAGAGUUGAAUUUCUUUGCCAUUAGACAAUGGAUAUACGUUGGCUUAGUAUAUUUCAGUUUACUUCGGAUUCUGUUGUAAUAGACAGAUAUAAAAUACAAGCCACAAGGAAUGCGGUUGUUUCGUAACCCUAGAGGAUCUUG